rnacentral:rRNA from 1 species
UGACCGUGCGAAGGUAGCAUAAUCAUUAGUCUUUUAAUUGAAGGCUUGUAUGAAUGGUUGGACGAGAAGUAAUCUGUCUCUGUUGAAAAAAUUGAAUUUAACUUUUGAGUGAGAAGGCUUAAAUGACCUAGAGGGACGAUAAGACCCUAUAAAGUUUAAUACUACAGCAAUAGAAAAUUAAUUAGGUUACAAGAUUUGUUAUUGUAGGUAGUAUUUUGUUGGGGCGACAAGAAUAUAAAUAAUUUAACUGUUCUUUUUUGUAUCAAAGAUAUUUGAGUUGAUGAUCUUUUUAAGAGUAAUAGAGUAAAUUACUUUAGGGAUAACAGCGUAAUUUUUUUUGAGAGUUCUUAUCGACAAAAGAGUUUGCGACCUCGAUGUUGAAUUAAAGAUUCUUUAUAGUGCAGAAGCUAUAUAAGAAGGUCUGUUCGACCUUUAAAUCUUUACAUGAUUUGAGUUCAGACCGGUGUGAGCCAGGUUGGUUUCUAUCUA